AUUGAACUUUUGGAGAAAUCCGAAAAAAUCAGAAGUACCAACGAGUGUCUCAAUCUCUUAUGUUCUUAGCAUACUCGACAUCACGAUGCCCCGAGGUUGAUUGAUUUAUUGAUGUUAGUUUAUUGCUAAAACUGUGGCAUCAUCAAGAAAUUUACCUAAAACUGAAGUAUGAAUGAGGCAUAAUUGUAACCCGGUUAAUUUGAGCACCAUCAACAAAAGCUUAACAAUAACUCAACGUGCCCAUAUUGACUGCAACCCAUUCAAAUGAGCGUUGAAUAUUUCUAACGACUUCUCAAUCGCAGGUGGUUUAUUUUAGGAGUUAGUAAGUAGAUGGGACACACAUAAUAGGGGAUUUAGGGUUAGGGAUAGGAUAAUUCCCUUUACUUCGAUUGAUGUUUGUUUCGCUCUUGGAUUGUCGAUUGUUGGUAAGACCCUCGUAGUAGAAGAAUACCAACAAUGUCAAACAUUGGACCUCUUUAAAGGGGCUGAGGUAAUUGUGGCCAAUAUUUGCAAAAAAAUUCAUUUCCACAAGAAUAUAUUAGUUAAUUUCUCUAGACUUUACAUAUUACUAGCAUUUGCGGAGUUUUACUUUCCAAAAAUCGGGACCAAGGUAUUUACGGGAUUUAUUA